AUCAAAUAUAAUCAUUUGAGUAAAAUCAUAUGGAUGGCUGUUAGGGCGCGCCAUAGGAUUCACGUGAUCUAUAAUAAAGUUACAAAAACCUAGUUUCUUCCCGUUGUAUUGGGUGGGAAGUGAGCAGGUGAUGAGUGCUGAUGGGUGUCCUUUUUCAUUGCUCGGUUGUGAUAGUAGCUUCUUCAUGUGAUAAAAGAUGGAGCACACCAUGGUGUAAGAGAGAAGUCGCUCCAUUUCUCCUCGCUGGCACACGAGCCGUUCUCUAACUCCAAGACGUCGUAAAAGUCAUUCUCUUCGACUCCAAGGUGUUAUAAGAGGCAAAGAAUUAGGAGUUCCUCAGUAUCUCCUACUCGUAAGCCUUCUAGUCCAAGUCUUGGGUUAGUGGAGUGCAAAAUUCUUAGUGAAAAAAUGAGAAAAGAGGAGGAGAAGAAGAGGUAUAUCGACUAUCAUGCAUCUUGGCUGUGUCUGUCAUCAAGUUUCUAUUACCAUUCCUAAGUUUCAGCACUCUAAACUUAUCAUUUGAACUUUUGGCAUAUUCGUGCAAGUUUUUUCAGGAUUGCUUUAUUGAUUGCAUAUACGUUGUUAUAUUUGAUCUGGAGAUAGAAAAUGUUAGUCUAUUAGGCAUAUAUGUGUUGCUUAAUGAAUCAGAGAAGUUGUACCGUAUCCACGAGGCGAAUUGUAAGUUAAUGCCAUCUAAUUGAGAGAUUCCAGCUCUGUGCAGCCUGGUCCAUGGAAGUCAAAGAAAAUGACCGGGAGAUAUCUUAACCAGUGGUCUGCAUGAAACAUGAAAUUCUACAUCUUCAAUUGCAUUAGUCCGAGUGUCUGUGUUGCAGGAAAGAAAUGACAACAAAUUACCAACAUGAAAUUCUUUGGA